AUGAACGCUGGCGGCGUGCUUAACACAUGCAAGUCGAACGAUUAAAGCUCACUUCGGUGAGUGUAUAGAGUGGCGAACGGGUGAGUAACACGUGGGAAACCUGCCCCUUUCUUCGGGAUAACUUCGGGAAACCGUUGCUAAUAUCGGAUACUCCGGGAUGGUCGCAUGGCCGACCCGGGAAAGCUUUAUGUGGAAAGGGAUGGUCCCGCGGCCCAUUAGCUUGUUGGUGGGGUAAUGGCCUACCAAGGCGAUGAUGGGUAGCCG
rnacentral:rRNA from 1 species